UACGUAGGGGGCAAGCGUUGUCCGGAUUCAUUGGGCGUAAAGCGCGUGUAGGCGGCCAGGUAGGUCCGACGUGAAAACUGGAGGCUCAACCUCCAGCUGUCGUUGGAAACCGUCUGGCUAGAGUCCGGAAGAGGAGAGUGGAAUUCCUGGUGUAGCGGUGAAAUGCGCAGAUAUCAGGAAGAACACCAAUGGCGAAGGCAGCUCUCUGGGACGGUACUGACGCUGAGACGCGAAAGCGUGGGGAGCGAACAGG
rnacentral:rRNA from 1 species